GAACGUAUAGCUUAGUGGUAGAACCUCUUUGAGGGUUUCCAAGAACCGCGGGUUCAAAUUCCGCCACGUUCG
rnacentral:tRNA from 1 species